rnacentral:misc_RNA from 1 species
GAUGAAGAACGUAGCGAAAUGCGAUAAGUAGUGUGAAUUGCAGAAUUCAGUGAAUCAUCGAAUCUUUGAACGCACAUUGCGCCCCUUGGUAUUCCAUGGGGCAUGCCUGUUCGAGCGUCAUUUCAACCAUCAAGCCCUGCUUGUGUUGGGGUCCUGCGGCUGCCCGCAGGCCCUGAAAACCAGUGGCGGGCUCGCUAGUCACACCGAGCGCAGUAGCACAUCUCGCUCAGGGCGUGCGGCGGGCUCCAGCCGUUAAAGCACCCACCUUUCGCAAGGUUGACCUCGGAUCAGGUAGGAAUACCCGCUGAACUUAAGCAUAUCAAUAAGCGGAGGA